rnacentral:rRNA from 1 species
GAUGAACGCUGGCGGCGUGCUUAACACAUGCAAGUCGAACGGUGAAAGAGAGCUUGCUCUCUGGAUCAGUGGCGAACGGGUGAGUAACACGUGAGCAAUCUGCCCCUGACUCUGGGAUAAGCGCUGGAAACGGCGUCUAAUACCGGAUACGAGCUGCGAAGGCAUCUUCAGCAGCUGGAAAGAACUUCGGUCAGGGAUGAGCUCGCGGCCUAUCAGCUAGUUGGUGAGGUAAUGGCUCACCAAGGCGUCGACGGGUAGCCGGCCCGAGAGGGGGACCGGCCACACUGGGACUGAGACACGGCCCAGACUCCUACGGGAGGCAGCAGUGGGGAAUAUUGCACAAUGGGCGCAAGCCUGAUGCAGCAACGCCGCGUGAGGGACGACGGCCUUCGGGUUGUAAACCUCUUUUAGCAGGGAAGAAGCGAAAGUGACGGUACCUGCAGAAAAAGCACCGGCUAACUACGUGCCAGCCGCCGCGGUAAAAC